rnacentral:rRNA from 1 species
AUUGAACGCUGGCGGCAGGCCUAACACAUGCAAGUCGAGCGAGCGGCGGACGGGUGAGUAAUGUCUGGGAAACUGCCUGAUGGAGGGGGAUAACUCCUGGAAACGGUAGCUAAUACCGCAUACCAUCAGAUGUGCCCAGAUGGGAGUAGCUAGUUGGUGGGGUAACGGCUCACCUAGGCGACGAUCCCUAGCUGGUCUGAGAGGAUGACCAGCAGCACUGGAAGGGAGACACGGUCCAGAGUCCUACGGGAGGCAGCAUUGGGGAAUAUGGCACAAUGGGCGCAAGCCUGAUGCAGCCAUGCCGCGUGUGUGAAGAAGGCCGUCGGGUUGUAAAGCACUUUCAGCGGGGAGGCGUUACCCGCAGAAGAAGCACCGGCUAACUCCGUGCCAGCAGCCGCGGUAAUUC